GAAUUGACGUUCGACACUUGACAGUCAUUUUGAAUGGUACAAUCAUGAAAAUUCAAUCAAUAAUCGUUUAAUAAACGCUGAAAUAAGAAUGAAACUUGAUACAAUGUGUAUUCUUAAUGUUUUAACUUCCUAAGGAAAUUAAUUUACUGACAAUGAAAGUGUUUUUACAUCUUUAAUCUUUAGUGUGAGACUUUUUUAUGAGCCUGAGUUAGAUACAUAAGUUGGGACAAUGACUGAUAUAAGUGGCAUUGACUACAUGAUUACAACAUUAGGAGCUUUUCUGAUGUUGGCAUUUGUUUGCUGUCUCUGCUGUUUUUGUAUGAAGUUGAGUGACAUGAAGAUGAGGAAUUAUAUAUUGGAAUUAGCAAAGAAGAAGAAUGUGAAUGUUGAUCUAGAAAAAUUAAAACCAAGGAAUACUUGCCAAUCGCCGCAUGCAAAUGAAAACUGUACCAUAAUGAUACCAGAUGUUGCUAUAGUACUCUGAAUGGAACAACGAUCGCCAAAAUGACAAAUAUUUUUGGGCUCAUGGAUUUUGAUGUCCCUCACAAGGAAGUAAGCAUGUUCUGCCAAAUUUUUAUUUAUUGUAAAUAGUUCUAUAUUGUACAUUGUACAUUUUUUCUACUGUCUUAUACUUUGAAAUGAGAAUUUGUUAAAUAUACUUUACUAUAGUAAAGAGCUAUUGUAACAUCACACAAGAGAGAAAGGCAAAAAUUCUAAAAUAGUAAUAAGUAUGUACAUUUUCUAUACUCUUUACUCUGUACCUAUGUAUAAUAACUUUCUAGUCACUUUGUAAGUAUUAUCUUACUAAGAUACUGCCUGCUUUUUCUAUAUUAUUUGUAGGGUUUUCAAGUAUGUGAUUAUAUAGACAUUAGUAAUAUAAUGUUUAAAACAAUUUUAAUAUGUCUUACAAGAACUUAAAUUAGCGGCCUAUAAUAAAAUAUCUUUUUAAAAUCUCAAAUGGAAUAAUGAAAAUUGAUUAAUAGCAUAGUAAAAAAAGAACAAGUAAGUUAUUUUCGAACAAAGUACAUCGUGCCGUUUGUAUGUACGCGGAGCGCUUGGCCACGCCCCCAGUUCAUGUACAUACGCAAGCUUGACGCACUCACACAACGCCGCUCGGUUCCUUCUCAUUGACCGUUCCCGUGAGGGCCGCGCUGUCGCUGUGAGCGGUCGGUGUUUGUUUAUACAAUUAUUUAAAAUAUCAACGUGACAAGUGACAACCCUGCGCCUCUCGAGUUUAGCUAUCGUGCGCUCCUGGAGACGGCCUACUUGUUCUCUUUUUACUAUGUUAGUAGUUAUUGGUGAUAGACGUAAAUUGAUAUUAUAUUAUGUAUUGACAAAUAACACUUCUGAAGCGGGAUAUUAUUAUUUUAGUAUAUUUAAGCUAAUCUAUUAAUUUCAAUUUAAAACUGUCUACGGCACAAAAUAAAGUCUAAUUAGUAGGAUAAUAUUAAUAAUUGAUCUGUCACUUUUAUUUUCAGUUAUUUGAUAUUUUUUUUAGUUGCAGGCUUAGAUUACAAAAUAAAAGACAGAUGGAGCGUUGC